rnacentral:rRNA from 1 species
UACGGGGGGGGUAAGCGUUGUUCGGAAUCACUGGGCGUAAAGGGCGCGUAGGCGGCCUGAUAAGUCGGGGGUGAAAGCCUGUGGCUCAACCACAGAAUUGCCUUCGAUACUGUUAGGCUUGAGACCGGAAGAGGUAAGUGGAACUGCGAGUGUAGAGGUGAAAUUCGUAGAUAUUCGCAAGAACACCAGUGGCGAAGGCGGCUUACUGGUCCGGUUCUGACGCUGAGGCGCGAAAGCGUGGGGAGCAAACAGG